GAUGAACGCUAGCGGCAGGCCUAAUACAUGCAAGUCGAACGGUGUAGCAAUACACAGUGGCGCACGGGUGCGUAACACGUAUGCAACCUACCUAUUAUUGGGGGAUAGCCUUUGGAAACGGAGAUUAAUACCGCAUAAGACAGUGACAUGGCAUCAUGUAGCUGUUAAAGCUUCGGCGAUAAUAGAUGGGCAUGCGUCCAAUUAGUUAGUUGGUGAGGUAAUGGCUCACCAAGACGAUGAUUGGUAGGGGAUCUGAGAGGAUAAUCCCCCACACUGGCACUGAGAUACGGGCCAGACUCCUACGGGAGGCAGCAGUAGGGAAUAUUGGGCAAUGGGCGGAAGCCUGACCCAGCCAUGCCGCGUGCAGGAUGACGGCGUUAUGCGUUGUAAACUGCUUUUUUAUAGGAAGAAGAAGCCCUUGCGAGGGAAAGUGACGGUACUAUAAGAAUAAGCACCGGCUAACUCCGUGCCAGCCGCCGCGGUAAUAC
rnacentral:rRNA from 1 species